ACAGAGUGGAGGGACUGGGAGCGUACAGAGAAGCCUUGCCCACAGGCGAGGGCAUGCGGGUGGGGCAUGGGCAUGCGUUCCUGGGGGUCCGGCAUGGUAAUGGAGCCCAUACAUCACGGGGUGCACCAGUCCACACUGGCAACCCCCAAAAUAUAGCAACCUGCUAUUGCCACAGGGACCCUCUGGCCACUUGUCCUAAUUUCCUACAACCUCUUUCUGAAGUGAACCCAGUGACAUCCUUGCAUUUACAGAGAAGAAUGAGCCACAGCAUGUAACGAAUGUCCUAUUUCUCUCAUUCCUGGCGUGGUCUAAGUUCUGAGCUACCAGGCCGUUGUAGGCUCUCAGCCCAUUCUCCUCAACGUACUGGAAAAAACGGAGAGUUUCUUCCUCUUUGGAGCUCAUCAUUCUUCAAGUGUUUCCACAGCAUUCUGAUGAAGACAUAUAGAACAUGUUAGUGAUAAUUGGUUGCCUUAACAAGAUAGAUACACAAAGUACUCCUAAUAAUAUGAACUACAAGGGCGUCAUAUAGUACGGGUAUGGUCUGAAUGCGAAACAAGCAUGCUGUCAUGUCAGUAAUCAUUCUCAUCUCAACCCUCCUUUUACAAGGUCAGCCUUGAUGAGAUAAAAACCGACGAAGCAAGAUUGCAUCAGCAUUGUAAUAAAGUCACACAAUAGAGUUGA